GAUGAACGCUGGCGGCGUGCCUAAUACAUGCCAGUCGAGCGAACGGACGAGAAGCUUGCUUCUCUGAUGUUAGCGGCGGACGGGUGAGUAACACGUGGAUAACCUACCUAUAAGACUGGGAUAACUUCGGGAAACCGGAGCUAAUACCGGAUAAUAUUUUGAACCGCAUGGUUCAAAAGUGAAAGACGGUCUUGCUGUCACUUAUAGAUGGAUCCGCGCUGCAUUAGCUAGUUGGUAAGGUAACGGCUUACCAAGGCAACGAUGCAUAGCCGACCUGAGAGGGUGAUCGGCCACACUGGAACUGAGACACGGUCCAGACUCCUACGGGAGGCAGCAGUAGGGAGUCUUCCGCAAUGGGCGAAAGCCUGACGGAGCAACGCCGCGUGAGUGAUGAAGGUCUUCGGAUCGUAAAACUCUGUUAUUAGGGAAGAACAUAUGUGUAAGUAACUGUGCACAUCUUGACGGUACCUAAUCAGAAAGCCACGGCUAACUACGUG
rnacentral:rRNA from 1 species